rnacentral:sRNA from 1 species
UUCUCAGCCUCCAGCCCAGAAGAGUUACAUUAAGAACUCUAGAGAAAACAUGCUCUCAGGGAGAUGAUAAGCAACUCAUGAAGAAGAAUUAUUUUUCAGAGCUUCCAAAUAUUCUACUUUCAUAUCUGUUUGACUCAACAUCUUUAAAGAAAUGGAUAAUGAUGAAAGACUUCAAAAAGUGUUAAGGAUUAAUUUGAAAGAGAAGUUAUAUACCCCGAAUAGAAGAAUAGAAGAAAGAAGAAGCUAGAUAUUUGGAGAAAUUUAAAAAGCAAAAUGAGGCCGGGUGCAGUGGUUCACGCCUGUUAAUCCCAGCACUUUGGGAGGCUGAGGCAUAGCCCUUUUGUACCUGCAGUUGUACCGGGUCACAUGUGACCAAACCUACCUGCUCCGAUCCCUGGAUUACGUAAAAAGAACACUUCGGAAUCUGAAUGGCCGCAGGGUCACCUUCCUCUGUGGGGAUGCUGGGCCCCUGGCUGUUGGAGCUGUGAUUUAUCACAAACUCAGAAGUGACUGUGAGUCCCAGGAAUGCGUCACAAAACUUUUGCAGCUCCAGAGAUCGGUUGUCUGCCAAGAAUCAGACCUUCCUGAUGAGCUGCUUUAUGGACGGGCAGGUUAUCUGUAUGCCUUACUGUACCUGAACACAGAGAUAGGUCCAGGCACCGUGUGUGAGUCAGCUAUUAAAGAGGUA